GAACGCUGGCGGCGUGCUUAACACAUGCAAGUCGAACGGAAAGGCCCUGCUUUUGUGGGGUGCUCGAGUGGCGAACGGGUGAGUAACACGUGAGUAACCUGCCCUUGACUUUGGGAUAACUUCAGGAAACUGGGGCUAAUACCGGAUAGGAGCUCCUGCUGCAUGGUGGGGGUUGGAAAGUUUCGGCGGUUGGGGAUGGACUCGCGGCUUAUCAGCUUGUUGGUGGGGUAGUGGCUUACCAAGGCUUUGACGGGUAGCCGGCCUGAGAGGGUGACCGGCCACAUUGGGACUGAGAUACGGCCCAGACUCCUACGGGAGGCAGCAGUGGGGAAUAUUGCACAAUGGGCGGAAGCCUGAUGCAGCAACGCCGCGUGCGGGAUGACGGCCUUCGGGUUGUAAACCGCUUUCGCCUGUGACGAAGCGUGAGUGACGGUAAUGGGUAAAGAAGCACCGGCUAACUACGUGCCAGCAGCCGCGGUGAUACGUAGGGUGCGAGCGUUGUCCGGAUUUAUUGGGCGUAAAGGGCUCGUAGGUGGUUGAUCACGUCGGAAGUGUAAUCUUGGGGCUUAACCCUGAGCGUGCUUUCGAUACGGGUUGACUUGAGGAAGGUAGGGGAGAAUGGAAUUCCUGGUGGAGCGGUGGAAUGCGCAGAUAUCAGGAGGAACACCAGUGGCGAAGGCGGUUCUCUGGGCCUUUCCUGACGCUGAGGAGCGAAAGCGUGGGGAGCGAACAGGCUUAGAUACCCUGGUAGUCCACGCUGUAAACGGUGGGUACUAGGUGUGGGGUCCAUUCCACGGGUUCCGUGCCGUAGCUAACGCUUUAAGUACCCCGCCUGGGGAGUACGGCCGCAAGGCUAAAACUCAAAGGAAUUGACGGGGCCCCGCACAAGCGGCGGAGCAUGCGGAUUAAUUCGAUGCAACGCGUAGAACCUUACCUGGGUUUGACAUGGAUCGGGAGUGCUCAGAGAUGGGUGUGCCUCUUUUGGGGUCGGUUCACAGGUGGUGCAUGGCUGUCGUCAGCUCGUGUCGUGAGAUGUUGGGUUAAGUCCCGCAACGAGCGCAACCCUUGUUCACUGUUGCCAGCACGUUAUGGUGGGGACUCAGUGGAGACCGCCGGGGUCAACUCGGAGGAAGGUGGGGAUGACGUCAAGUCAUCAUGCCCCUUAUGUCCAGGGCUUCACGCAUGCUACAAUGGCUGGUACAGAGAGUGGCGAGCCUGUGAGGGUGAGCGAAUCUCGGAAAGCCGGUCUCAGUUCGGAUUGGGGUCUGCAACUCGACCUCAUGAAGUCGGAGUCGCUAGUAAUCGCAGAUCAGCAACGCUGCGGUGAAUACGUUCCCGGGGCUUGUACACACCGCCCGUCAAGUCAUGAAAGUUGGUAACACCCGAAGCCGGUGGCCUAACCGUUGUGGGGGAGCCGUCGAAGGUGGGACUGGUGAUUAGGACUAAG
rnacentral:rRNA from 1 species